GCCUGAGUGGCUCGGUCGGUUAAGCGUCUGACUUCAGCUCAGGUGACGGUCUUGCAGUUCGUUGAGUUCAAGCCCCAUUUCAGGCU
rnacentral:tRNA from 1 species